rnacentral:misc_RNA from 1 species
GAUGAAGAACGCAGCGAAAUGCGAUAAGUAAUGUGAAUUGCAGAAUUCAGUGAAUCAUCGAAUCUUUGAACGCACAUUGCGCCCGCCAGCACUCUGGCGGGCAUGCCUGUCCGAGCGUCAUUUCAACCCUCAGGCUCGACCUGGUGUUGGGGACCGGCUGCCCUAGCGGCUGCCGGCCCUGAAAUACAGUGGCGGUCUCUUCGCGAGCUCCCCUGCGUAGUAGCACUACCUCGCAGCGGGAUAGCGUCCUGGCCACGCCGUAAAACCCCCUACUUCUCAAGGUUGACCUCGGAUCAGGUAGGAAUACCCGCUGAACUUAAGCAUAUCAAUAAGCGGAGGA